UGGGGAAUAUUGGACAAUGGGGCAACCUGAUCCAGCAAUGCCGCGUGUGUGAAGAAGGUUUUCGGAUUGUAAAGCACUUUCGACGGGACGAUGAUGACGGUACCCGUAGAAGAAGCCCCGGCUAACUUCGUGCCAGCAGCCGCGGUAAUACGAAGGGGCUAGCGUUGCUCGGAAUGACUGGGCGUAAAGGCGUGUAGGCGGUUUGUACAGUCAGAUGUGAAAUCCCCGGGCUUAACCUGGGAGCUGCAUUUGAUACGUGCAGACUAGAGUGUGAGAGAGGGUUGUGGAAUUCCCAGUGUAGAGGUGAAAUUCGUAGAUAUUGGGAAGAACACC
rnacentral:rRNA from 1 species